rnacentral:rRNA from 1 species
GAUGAACGCUGGCGGCGUGCCUAAUACAUGCAAGUCGAGCGAACAGGCGAGGAGCUUGCUCCUCUGACGUUAGCGGCGGACGGGUGAGUAACACGUGGAUAACCUACCUAUAAGACUGGGAUAACUUCGGGAAACCGGAGCUAAUACCGGAUAAUAUAUUGAACCGCAUGGUUCAAUGGUGAAAGACGGUUUUGCUGUCACUUAUCGAUGGAUCCGCGCCGGAUUAGCUAGUUGGUCAGGUAACGGGUUACCAAGGGAACGAUGCGUAGCCGAGCUGAGAGAGUGAUAGGCCACACUAGAGGUGGGCCACGGUCCAGGCUCCUGCGGGACGCAGCAGUAGGGUAUCUUCCGCAAUGGGCGAGAGCCUUACGGAGCAACCCCGCGUGAGUGCUGAAGGUCUUCCGAUCGUAAAACUCUGUUAUUAGGGAAGAACAAAUGUGUAAGUAACUAUGCACGUCUUGACGGUACCUAAUCAGAAAGCCACGGCUAACUACGUG